GCGGAAGUGGCGGAAUGGCAUACGCGCUAGUUUCAGGAGCUAGUGGGGCAACCCUUGAGGGUUCAACUCCCUCCUUCCGCA
rnacentral:tRNA from 1 species